rnacentral:rRNA from 1 species
UACAGAGGGUGCAAGCGUUGUUCGGAAUUAUUGGGCGUAAAGGGCGCGUAGGCGGCCAUGCGUGUCUUCCGUGAAAUCCCUCGGCUCAACCGAGGACGUGCGGAAGAAACUGCAAGGCUCGAGUCCGGAAGAGGGGGGCGGAAUUCCCAGUGUAGCGGUGAAAUGCGUAGAUAUUGGGAGGAACACCAGUGGCGAAGGCGGUCCCCUGGGCCGGAACUGACGCUGAGGCGCGAAAGCGUGGGUAGCAAACGGG